GGCUCUUUGGCGAUAUGGUCAGCGCAUUUGAUUCUUAUCCAGGAGUCUAGGGUUCAAUUCCCCGCUCGGGCCC